GCGCCAUUAGCUCAAUUGGAUAGAGCGUCGGUCUACGGAACCGAAGGUUAGGGGUUCGAGUCCCUUAUGGCGCGCCA
rnacentral:tRNA from 1 species